rnacentral:rRNA from 1 species
CUUCUCCGUAGGGGGACCUGCGGAGGGAUCAUUACACAAUAACCAGGCGGGCUGGACACCCCCCGCUGGGCACUGCUUCACGGCGUGCGCGGCGGGGCCGGCCCUGCUGAAUUAUUCACCCGUGUCUUUUGCGUACUUCUUGUUUCCUGGGUGGGCUCGCCCGCCCUCAGGACCAACCACAAACCUUUUGCAAUAGCAAUCAGCGUCAGUAACAACGUAAUUAAUUACAACUUUCAACAACGGAUCUCUUGGUUCUGGCAUCGAUGAAGAACGCAGCGAAAUGCGAUACGUAGUGUGAAUUGCAGAAUUCAGUGAAUCAUCGAAUCUUUGAACGCACAUUGCGCCCUUUGGUAUUCCAAAGGGCAUGCCUGUUCGAGCGUCAUUUGUACCCUCAAGCUUUGCUUGGUGUUGGGCGUCUUUUGUCUCCAGUUCGCUGGAGACUCGCCUUAAAGUCAUUGGCAGCCGGCCUACUGGUUUCGGAGCGCAGCACAAGUCGCGCUCUUUGCCAGCCAAGGUCAGCGUCCAGCAAGCCUUUUUUUCAACCUUUGACCUCGGAUCAGGUAGGGAUACCCGCUGAACUUAAGCAUAUCAUAGGCCCGGAGGAAAA